AUGUGGUUUCCAGGGGGAAGGAGUAUCAUCAUUCCGUGUGGAACUGCUAGGCAGGGUGUUAAGGACACAGAGGGAAGACCCCAGAAGAUGCUGCUUCUCCUGCUUGGGUGUCUCCUGCCCCCCACCAAUGGGAAAAGCUGCCUCCACUGCUGGCCAGACCUGCCCGCAUUGGUAGACUAUGAUCUGCAGAUCCUUUGGGGCUCCCCAGGGCCACCUGCAGAGCUCUCCCAAAGUGUCCACUCCCUAUUCCUGAAGAGAGAUCGUGUCCUCCUAGAACCCCGAUAUCUUGAUCAGGACCAUAUGGAGGAAGCAACAGCCAAAUUAUUCAAUCAUAUAGAUGAAACCAUCAAGAAGUUUCGAGAUGAUAAACCAUCACUUCUGGAAGAGAUUCGUAUCCAGAAACAGGUGUUUACUGACAGGCUGAAUAAGAUAUCUGAAGAGCUGAAGGAGAGGGCCUGCAACAAGACCUGUGACCUAGACUCCACACUAGAAGUCAUCAACUGUGCCAACUGCAAGAUACAUUCCCUUGUCUGCAAAGACCCCACUCUCUGCCCAGACAGGACCGGGAGUACCGUCACGUGGGUUGUAAGCCUUGGCAUUAUUCUGCUUCUGGCAGCCAUAGCUGGAAGUGGAUGGUACAUUUUCUGGCGUGAGAAGAGAAAGGAAGCAGAAAAGGUGCUGGGAAAGGAGACCCCUGCCAGAAUGUAGGUCUCCCGAGGAGGGAAAGCUGCAAGUAGCAAGGAACUCAGCAGUUCAGUGUUCUGAACAGAGAUCACCCAGUCGCUGCCAGGAAGCUAUCUCAUCUCUGAGUUCCAGUAACUGUCCUUUCCCUGACCCCCUCCAAUCUGGGGUGGUAGCAGUUAUGUGGCAAAGAGACCACACUCUGUCUUGUGGCUUCCCUAUACCCAGUCCUUGCAAAUACUUUUCAUUAAAACACCUUCCUCCCAUUCUGAUGGGCUGUAGCAUCUGCUUCCUGCCUGGAAAGACACAGCUGGCACCGAGAUCCUCCCGACACUGUCAUAAAGGGGCUCAUUCCCUCUUUUCACCCUCCCUCUGCUGGCCCACCACCCUUCCUGUCCUAAAGUGCCCCUCUCCUACUGCUCUGGCCCCAGCACUGGUAUCUCCACAGGCUCAGUCUGGCCUCAUCUACUUCCAGCACCAGAGAUGAAGACAGAGAUGGCUUGGGUCCCUAUGUCCAGGUAUUGAACAGAGACAGUGAGAGGCCAGCUCAUAGCUCAGGGACUGGCAGAGGAACAGACACCAGAAAACAGACUUCAAAUCACAUUAAUGGCAGACUUUUCUCCAUCCUGGCCAAGAUGUCCACCCUAGGAACACCCAGGUCCCCGGUGAAUCUGGUACUGCUAGCAAUGACACUUCCUUGACUCUGCCUCUGGUAGUGGAGUGGAGGAGGGGAGGGAGGGCAGGGGUUUGCCUCCUCCUCCUCCUCCAUCCCUAUGUCCUUUUCCUUGUCUGAACCCAAGGCUGCCAGAUUAAAUGGAACUUCUGAGUCCUCCAGGCACAGCUCUUCCCUUUCCCCUCAACCUUGUGCCCUUCCUCACUGGUACUCCCAGACUCUUGUCCUUGGAUCAGGCUCUGCUCUGAUGGGACCUAUCCAACAGCUUUGCAGCCACUGUCAGGACCAGAGCCCUGGUCAGCAGGUCAAACCCUGGGUGCUGAAAAGAAGCAAGUCUGGGACCAGAGCUAAGGACCAGUAUCCCAGAACCUGGACUCGAGUCCUGGU
ensembl:lncRNA